rnacentral:rRNA from 1 species
CAGACUCCUACGGGAGGCAGCAGUAGGGAAUAUUGCUCAAUGGGGGAAACCCUGAAGCAGCAACGCCGCGUGGAGGAUGAAGGUUUUAGGAUUGUAAACUCCUUUUGUUAGAGAAGAUAAUGACGGUAUCUAACGAAUAAGCACCGGCUAACUCCGUGCCAGCAGCCGCGGUAAUACGGAGGGUGCAAGCGUUACUCGGAAUCACUGGGCGUAAAGAGCGCGUAGGCGGGAUAGUCAGUCAGGUGUGAAAUCCUAUGGCUUAACCAUAGAACUGCAUUUGAAACUACUAUUCUAGAGUGUGGGAGAGGUAGGUGGAAUUCUUGGUGUAGGGGUAAAAUCCGUAGAGAUCAAGAGGAAUACUCAUUGCGAAGGCGACCUGCUGGAACAUUACUGACGCUGAUUGCGCGAAAGCGUGGGGAGCAAACAGGAUUAGAUACCCUGGUAGUCCACGCCCUAAACGAUGGAUGCUAGUUGUUGGAGGGCUUAGUCUCUCCAGUAAUGCAGCUAACGCAUUAAGCAUCCCGCCUGGGGAGUACGGUCGCAAGAUUAAAACUCAAAGGAAUAGACGGGGACCCGCACAAGCGGUGGAGCAUGUGGUUUAAUUCGAAGAUACACGAAGAACCUUACCUAGGCUUGACAUUGAGAGAAUCCGCUAGAAAUAGUGGAGUGUCUGGCUUGCUAGACCUUGAAAACAGGUGCUGCACGGCUGUCGUCAGCUCGUGUCGUGAGAUGUUGGGUUAAGUCCCGCAACGAGCGCAACCCCCUUUCUUAGUUGCUAACAGGUCAUGCUGAGAACUCUAAGGAUACUGCCUCCGUAAGGAGGAGGAAGGUGGGGACGACGUCAAGUCAUCAUGGCCCUUACGCCUAGGGCUACACACGUGCUACAAUGGGGUGCACAAAGAGAAGCAAUACUGCGAAGUGGAGCCAAUCUUCAAAACACCUCUCAGUUCGGAUUGUAGGCUGCAACUCGCCUGCAUGAAGCUGGAAUCGCUAGUAAUCGCAAAUCAGCCAUGUUGCGGUGAAUACGUUCCCGGGUCUUGUACUCACCGCCCGUCACACCAUGGGAGUUGUGUUUGCCUUAAGUCAGGAUGCUAAAUUGGCUACUGCCCACGGCACACACAGCGACUGGGGUGAAGUCGUAACAAGGUAACCGUAGGUGAACCUGCGGUUGGAUCACC